rnacentral:pre_miRNA from 1 species
AGUGGGAUAGCCAGGUCAAAUGGUGGUUCCAGUCCGAGUUUUCUGAGGAAUCUCCAUACUGCUUUCCAUAGUGGUUGUGCCAUUUGCAGUCCCAACAGCAAU